UUUUCCCCCAAGGGGGGGGAGCAUGUGGUUUAAUUCGAUGAUACGCGAGGAACCUUACCAGGGCUUAAAUGCAUAAUGACAGAUUUGGAAACAAGUCCUUCUUCGGACAGAAUGCAAGGUGUUGCAUGGCGGUCGUCAGCUCGUGCCUUGAGGUGUCAGGUUAAGUCCUAUAACGAGCGCAACCCCUAUCUUUAGUUGCCACCGGGUUAAGCCGGGGACUCUAAAGAAACUGCCAGCGUAAGCUGGGAGGAAGGUGGGGACGACGUCAAGUCAUCACGGCCCUUACGCCCUGGGCCACACACGUGCUCCAAUGGUAAAUACAAAGGGCAGCUACUUGGCGACAAGAUGCUAAUCUUUAAAACUCAUUUCAGUUCGGAUUGGAGUUUGCAACUUGACUCCCGAAACUGAAUCGCUAGUAUCCGUACAGCCCA
rnacentral:rRNA from 1 species